rnacentral:misc_RNA from 1 species
GAUGAAGAACGCAGCGAAAUGCGAUAAGUAAUGUGAAUUGCAGAAUUCAGUGAAUCAUCGAAUCUUUGAACGCACAUUGCGCCCGCCAGUAUUCUGGCGGGCAUGCCUGUUCGAGCGUCAUUUCAACCAUCAAGCCCCCGGCUUGUGUUGGGGACCUGCGGCUGCCGCAGGCCCUGAAAACCAGUGGCGGGCUCGCUAGUCACUCCGAGCGUAGUAGUUACAUCUCGCUCAGGGCGUGCUGCGGGUUCCGGCCGUUAAAAGCCUUAUUUACCCAAGGUUGACCUCGGAUCAGGUAGGAAGACCCGCUGAACUUAAGCAUAUCAAUAAGGGAGGA